AGUUUUAAUAAUUUAAGAAAAAUACUGAUCUUGUAAAUCAAUAUUAAGAAAUAUCUUUUAAAAC
rnacentral:tRNA from 1 species